rnacentral:rRNA from 1 species
AGGGGCAGCGGGGUUGUAGUAAUACAACUGCCGGCGACCGGCGCACGGGUGAGUAACACGUAUGUAACCUGCCCUCUGCAGGGGGAUAAGCGGAAGAAAUUCCGUCUAAUACCGCAUAAUACAAUUUGGAGACAUCUCCGGGUUGUCAAAGGAGUGAUCCGGCAGAGGAUGGACAUGCGGCGCAUUAGCUAGUCGGCGGGGUAACGGCCCACCGAGGCUACGAUGCGUAGGGGUUCUGAGAGGAAGGUCCCCCACACUGGUACUGAGACACGGACCAGACUCCUACGGGAGGCAGCAGUGAGGAAUAUUGGUCAAUGGGCGGAAGCCUGAACCAGCCAAGUCGCGUGAGGGAAGACGGUCCUAUGGAUUGUAAACCUCUUUUGCAGGGGAGCAAGGCGCGGUACGUGUACCGCGAAGGAGAGUACCCUGAGAAAAAGCAUCGGCUAACUCCGUGCCAGCAGCCGCGGUAAUACGGAGGAUGCGAGCGUUAUCCGGAUUUAUUGGGUUUAAAGGGUGCGCAGGCGGACUGUUAAGUCAGCGGUAAAAUGUCGGUGCUCAACACCGGCCGGCCGUUGAAACUGGCAGCCUUGAGUGAGCGAGAAGUAUGCGGAAUGCGUGGUGUAGCGGUGAAAUG